CCUACGGGAGGCAGCAGUGAGGAAUAUUGGUCAAUGGACGAGAGUCUGAACCAGCCAAGUAGCGUGAAGGAUGACUGCCCUAUGGGUUGUAAACUUCUUUUAUAAAGGAAUAAAAUGAGGCAUGUGUGCCUCUUUGCAUGUACUUUAUGAAUAAGGAUCGGCUAACUCCGUGCCAGCAGCCGCGGUAAUACGGAGGAUCCGAGCGUUAUCCGGAUUUAUUGGGUUUAAAGGGAGCGUAGAUGGGUUGUUAAGUCAGUUGUGAAAGUUUGCGGCUCAACCGUAAAAUUGCAAUUGAUACUGGCAGUCUUGAGUACAGUUGAGGUAGGCGGAAUUCGUGGUGUAGCGGUGAAAUGCUUAGAUAUCACGAAGAACCCCGAUUGCGAAGGCAGCUUACUAAACUGUAACUGACAUUGAUGCUCGAAAGUGUGGGUAUCAAACAGGAUUAGAUACCCUUGUAGUC
rnacentral:rRNA from 1 species